AUUGAACGCUGGCGGCAUGCCUUACACAUGCAAGUCGAACGGUAACAAGUUAAGCUGACGAGUGGCGAACGGGUGAGUAAUAUAUCGGAACGUGCCCAGUCGUGGGGGAUAACGUAGCGAAAGCUACGCUAAUGCCGCAUACGAUCUACGGAUGAAAGCGGGGGAUCGCAAGACCUCGCGCGAUUGGAGCGGCCGAUAUCAGAUUAGGUUGUUGGUGGGGUAAAAGCUCACCAAGCAUGCGAUCUGUAGCUGGUCUGAGAGGACGACCAGCCACACUGGAACUGAGACACGGUCCAGACUCCUACGGGAGGCAGCAGUGGGGAAUUUUGGACAAUGGACGCAAGUCUGAUCCAGCAAUGCCGCGUGCAGGACGAAGGCCUUCGGGUUGUAAACUGCUUUCGUACGGAACGAAACGGUGAGCUCUAAUACAGUUUGCUAAUGACGGUACCGUAAGAAUAAGCACCGGCUAACUACGUGCCAGCAGCCGCGGUAA
rnacentral:rRNA from 1 species